rnacentral:rRNA from 1 species
UACGAAGGGGGCUAGCGUUGCUCGGAGUCACUGGGCGUAAGGGCGCGUAGGCGGCUGAUUUAGUCGAGGGUGAAAGCCCGUGGCUCAACCACGGAAUGGCCUUCGAUACUGAUUGGCUUGAGACCGGAAGAGGACAGCGGAACUGCGAGUGUAGAGGUGAAAUUCGUAGAUAUUCGCAAGAACACCAGUGGCGAAGGCGGCUGUCUGGUCCGGUUCUGACGCUGAGGCGCGAAAGCGUGGGGAGCAAACA